GAUGAAGAACGCAGCGAAAUGCGAAAAGUAAUGUGAAUUGCAGAAUUCAGUGAACCAUCGAAUCUUUGAACGCACAUUGCGCCCGCUGGAACUCCGGCGGGCACGCCUGUCCGAGCGUCAUUUCAACCCUCAGGCCCCCCUUCGCGGGCGGGCCUGGUGUUGGGGCCCGGCCGCCACCCUGCGGCCGUCCCCUAAAUUCAGUGGCGGCCUCGCCGUGAUCCCUUGCGUAGUAAUGCACCUCGCACCGGAGAGCGCCGUGGCCACGCCGUAAAACCCCCAAUUUUCAAUGGUUGACCUCGGAUCAGGUGGGAAUACCCGCUGAACUUAAGCAUAUCAAUAAGCGGAGGA
rnacentral:misc_RNA from 1 species